rnacentral:lncRNA from 1 species
CUUCAUAUUGCUCAUCAUCAUCAUCUUCUUCUUCUUCAUCAUCAUCAUCAUAAUCAUCAUUAUCAUCAUCAUCAUCUUCUUCUUCUCCUCCUUCUUCAUCAUCAUCUUAUUAUUAUUAUUAUUCAUCCUCUUCUUCUUCUCCUUCUCCUUCUUCUUCUCCUUCUCCUUCUUCUUCUUCUUCUAGUCUUCUUCUUCUUGUUCUUCUUCUUAGCUAAUUAUCCGUCAAAAUAACAUAAUUGGCUUAUUUAGUUCAUUUAUGACAUAAUUCGCUUGGUUAGGUCAAAAAUGGCAUAAUAACCUUGGUUACCUCAUGAAUGUCAUAUACUUAGCUUAUUUUCCUCCAAAUGACAUAAUAAGCUAAAAAUAGCAUAAAAGAAAAAGAAAGAAUAGAAGAGGAAAGAGGAGAAAAAGAAAGAAUAUAAG